UUAUGGAAAAGAAAUUAUCCGCUUCACAAUAUACUGCAGAAAUGAAAACUUUGUUGAUAUUUUGAAGUUUUAUGAGUUAAUACUGAAAAGACCAGUAUGUCAGAAAAAAGCAGACUUUUGUGUUUUUCCUGUCUAUUCUAACAUGGAAAUAGACAUCCAGUUUUCUUUAAAAAAACUUCCAAAGGGCCACGUGCCAAUGCCAACUGAGUCAGCGGUGUUGGAGUUCAGAGUGAAAGAUGUUGGACAGCUUGUUCCUCUCCUGCCCAACCCUUGCAGUCCAAUCAGUGAAGGCAGGUGGCAGACUGAAGAUCAUGAUGGAAAUAGGAUCCUUUUGCAGCAAGCACGCAGUUGGUGUAGGAAGUCUGCGAAGCAGAACAUGCAUCCAUAUCCAUCUGUGUCAACAGAUUCCCACUUCACCACUUUGCCAGACUUUCAUCCUCAGAGCCACCAAUCUGUCCCCGAACCGCCAAAAGAACUCUGCAAGAAGAUGUUCAGCCUAUCUGGGGUCAUUUCCUGACACCACAGGAAACACUGGUACUGGCAGUCUACAAGCAAGAAUAGGAGAGCUCAAGUGGCAACUGCAAUGCGUAUGUGUGCUCUUAACCUGGAGCUCUUCCAUCAUCUGACCUUCAGAUUUUAUCCCAUUAAUCUUAACAGGAAGAAAGCCAAAUGAACUUCCACAGACCGAAUUUACGGUGUCUCCACUGAUUCUGUCUCCAAGUAUUUCUGUUCUGUUUACUGAUACUUAACUAGAGAUGAAAGUUUUCAUUGUUUACAUUCAUGGUGCUUAAAAUAACUGAGUGUUUUGCUGUCAGGAAAAAACCAGCAAAAAUAGUGUACAUAAAACAUUUUGUUUGUAACAGAGAAAGCAGGAAAUUGAAGAGUGUUUCACUGAAGCUAAUAUUCAUUCUCUUUCCAUUAUUUAAGAAGGCGCUGAUCUUAUCAAAAAGCUAAAUAUGCACAGGUUUCAUAGUAUUUACCUAUGUAUCAUUUUGUUUAAGUUAAAUUAUAAAUAAUGUCAUUGAGAACUGCAGGUUUUCCCUGGACUUUCUCUCCUUCUCACCCUAAUAUGUGUUGUUUCUGUUAAAUAAAAUAGAGACAAGAAGUC
rnacentral:lncRNA from 1 species